rnacentral:rRNA from 1 species
AACAAGGUUUCCGUAGGUGAACCUGCGGAAGGAUCAUUGUCGAAACCUGCCUAGCAGAACGACCCGCGAACAUGUUAAAACACCGGCGGGGGGCACGCCCACGGGCGCUCCUCCCCCUACCGCCAUGGGUGCGGGACUCGUCCUGUUCCCCGCGGCGAACAACGAACCCCCGGCGCGGAAUGCGCCAAGGAAAUGUAACGAGAGAGCACGCUCCAGGGGCCCCGGACACGGUGCGCCUCCGGACGCGACGCCUUCUUUCACUGUAUCUAUAACGACUCUCGGCAACGGAUAUCUCGGCUCUCGCAUCGAUGAAGAACGUAGCGAAAUGCGAUACUUGGUGUGAAUUGCAGAAUCCCGUGAACCAUCGAGUCUUUGAACGCAAGUUGCGCCCCAAGCCCUUAGGCCGAGGGCACGUCUGCCUGGGUGUCACGCAUCGUUGCCCCACCCCACCCCUUACCAUUGGGGCCUGGCGGUGUGGGCGGAGAAUGGCCUCCCGUGCGCUCCCGCUCGCGGUUGGCCUAAAUUCGAGUCCUCGGCGACUGAGGCCGUGACUAUCGGUGGUGAAAACAAGCCUCUCGAGCUCACGUCGCGUGCCGCAGUCUCCGUUUCGGGACUCAGGGACCCUGAUGCUCCGCAUUUGCGGCGCUCGCAUUGCGACCCCAGGUCA